UCUUUGGUGAGUCGAGGGACUUUAGCAUUAAUGGAUUCACUUUGGCUCAACCUUGUCUAAGGCUGAUUGCUUACUUCAUAUCCAUCUUUGGAAGGGGAAGUUGGAUGGUGUGCGAGGGACUAAGGAUCUCAGGUAAUACGUACAUUAUGGAGCAUUAUGGACCGUUUGGGGUUAAAUUGAAGCAAUUAGGAGCUAAAAAGGACAUCCAAGCUUCAAAGGGGAGAGAAAAUGACAAAUCUGCCCCAGGCAAGAGCGUCACAGUGCCCUAUGGUGCUGCACCAUGAUGCUCUUCAUAGAAUUCUAAAAAGGGUGUAGCACCACAACGUUGUCCCGUAGUGUUGCGGCAUCAUUGCGCGGAUAUAAAAUCCGCUCUUUGGUUUUUAAGUCGUAUCUUUUUAUCUGGGUGUCCAUUUUAGGCGAAUGACCACUCAUUUUCUUCAUUUUUUUUGUUCUCUAUCUAUUUUUUGCAUUAUUUUUAGAGUUCUUUCUAUCUUCUUUAUGUAAACAAAUCAAAUGAUGUUGAAUGUGUGGAAACUCUUCGGUUCUCUGAGUUCGAUCUGUGCUACCAUACUGAAAAAUUAGGUAGGAAUGAUUAAAUUAUUUGGUCUGAAAUUAGGCGACAAAUUCCACCAACCAAAUUGACGUCGUUGUCGAGAAAGUCACUUAAUAUUUCUUAAUUGGUUUUUAGUUAAAGUAUUCUUUUGCUUUGAUUUGUUUUCUUUUUGUGUUAGUGUUCUAAGCAUGACAGGAUAUCAUCAGCAAGGUUGGAGAGAAUCUAGUGGAGCAUCUCAACCUAGUGACGAGGUUAAUGACCUUCACUAUCAGCUUUCUGAGUUAACUUCUUUGAUUAAACAAAUGGUUGUAGGAAAUCUGCAGCAAGUGCAAGCAUGUAGGAUUUGCUCGUUCGAUGGCCAUCUUAAGCAAGCAUGUCUGAGGUUAUGAUGGAGCCCGAUCCCACAAGACUACUCCAUGGGGGGGGUUUCUGAGUCAAGGGGAUUACAUUCCCAUCAUCCGAAUUGAGUCUCAGGACAAUUUAUUCUUUGACUACAACUUUAGCUAUGAUAUUGGGGGCCUAUGUUCUUAUAAGGUGAGCCUGAUGUGAUGUUAUCUAUCGUCUUUGGCGAGA